rnacentral:rRNA from 1 species
GAUGAACGCUGGCGGCGUGCCUAAUACAUGCAAGUCGAACGAAACUUCUUUAUCACCGAGUGCUUGCACUCACCGAUAAAGAGUUGAGUGGCGAACGGGUGAGUAACACGUGGGCAACCUGCCCAAAAGAGGGGGAUAACACUUGGAAACAGGUGCUAAUACCGCAUAACCAUAGUUACCGCAUGGUACCUAUGUAAAAGGUGGCUAUACUACCGCUUUUGGAUGGGCCCGCGGCGCAUUAGCUAGUUGGUAGGGUAAAGGCUUACCAAGGCAAUGAUGCGUAGCCGAAUUGAGAGGUUGAUCGGCCACAUUGGGACUGAGACACGGCCCAAACUCCUACGGGAGGCAGCAGUAGGGAAUCUUCCACAAUGGGCGAAAGCCUGAUGGAGCAACGCCGCGUGGGUGAAGAAGGUCUUCGGAUCGUAAAACCCUGUUGUUAGAGAAGAAAGUGCGUGAGAGUAACUGUUCACGUUUCGACGGUAUCUAACCAGAAAGCCACGGCUAACUACGUG